GCCUCAGUAACGGCGAGUGAAGCGGCAACAGCUCAAAUUUGAAAUCUGGCUCUUUCAGGGUCCGAGUUGUAAUUUGUAGAAGAUGCUUCGGGUGUGGCUCCGGUCUAAGUUCCUUGGAACAGGACGUCAUAGAGGGUGAGAAUCCCGUAUGUGACUGGCUGCCUCCCCCAUGUGAAGCUCUUUCGACGAGUCGAGUUGUUUGGGAAUGCAGCUCAAAAUGGGUGGUAAAUUUCAUCUAAAGCUAAAUAUUGGCCAGAGACCGAUAGCGCACAAGUAGAGUGAUCGAAAGAUGAAAAGCACUUUGGAAAGAGAGUUAAACAGUACGUGAAAUUGUUGAAAGGGAAGCGCUUGCAAUCAGACUUGCGCGCGGUCGAUCAUCCGAUGUUCUCACCGGUGCACUCGACCGUGCUCAGGCCAGCAUCGGUUUCGGUGGUUGGAUAAAGGCCUUGGGAAUGUGGCUCUCUUCGGGGAGUGUUAUAGCCCUCGGUGCAAUGCAGCCUACCGGGACCGAGGACCGCGCUUCGGCUAGGAUGCUGGCGUAAUGGUUGUAAGCGACCCGUCUUGAAACACGGACCAAGGAGUCUAACAUCUAUGCGAGUGUUUGGGUGUCAAACCCAUACGCGUAAUGAAAGUGAACGGAGGUGAGAACCCUUAAGGGUGCAUCAUCGACCGAUCCUGAUGUCUUCGGAUGGAUUUGAGUAAGAGCAUAGCUGUUGGGACCCGAAAGAUGGUGAACUAUGCCUGAAUAGGGUGAAGCCAGAGGAAACUCUGGUGGAGGCUCGCAGCGGUUCUGACGUGCAAAUCGAUCGUCAAAUUUGGGUAUAGGGGCGAAAGA
rnacentral:rRNA from 1 species